rnacentral:rRNA from 1 species
UAGGGAAUCUUCCGCAAUGGGCGAAAGCCUGACGGAGCAACGCCGCGUGAGUGAUGAAGGUCUUCGGAUCGUAAAACUCUGUUAUUAGGGAAGAACAAAUGUGUAAGUAACUAUGCACGUCUUGACGGUACCUAAUCAGAAAGCCACGGCUAACUACGUGCCAGCAGCCGCGGUAAUACGUAGGUGGCAAGCGUUAUCCGGAAUUAUUGGGCGUAAAGCGCGCGUAGGCGGUUUUUUAAGUCUGAUGUGAAAGCCAACGGCUCAGCCGUGGAGGGUCAUUGGAAACUUGAAAACUUGCGUGCAGAAGAGGAAAGUGGAAUUCCAUGUGUAGCGGUGAAAUGCGCAGAGAUAUGGAGAAACCCCAGUGGCGAAGGCGACUUUCUGGUCUGUAACUGACGCAGAUGUGCGAAAGCGUGGGGAUCAAACAGG